ensembl:lncRNA
AGCAGCAUGCAAAGGGCUCUAGUACUAUUUCCCGGAUUGCGUCCUUUGCUUCGACCCUGCUUGUCUCUGACCCAUCCUUGUCGUACCUGCACUGGUAACCUGAAAAACCGUUGAACUGUUCCAACGCUAGUCUCGGUCUGUGCUGUUCUUGGGUCCAGUCUCUUGGGCCAGAGACAGUUUUUUUAAAUAUGAGUACUUGUGGCUCUCCUCUCCCAUUGUUCCAGCGGAUAGCCCUGAGUCGCGGCUGCAUCCUGGCCGCUCGGCAGGGCGGAGGUCAGCCUUCCACGCCCCGCCAAGACACCAUAUCUGCGCCCGACAGCCGGCACACCGGACACGGGGAGAGGCUAGCUGUGGCCCGCGGAGGGGCGAGGCGACAGAAUGGGCCGAAGGCAAGGACAAUAAGAAACGAGAGGCGGGUAGGUGUAAGGACUGGUCAGUCGUAAGAGACGGAGGGUGUUGAGUCGAAAAGGAAACAUUCUAAAUCCGCGUCAGACUGUAGGUGUGCUGUGAACAGAGUAGCAUUUUUUGGCUACGCAUAGCGCAGUGGGUGUGCUGCUUCAGAUGGGGGGGGGGGGAUUGCCGGUAAAGGGUCCGGGUGUACAGCAGGCUGUGACAUUGGUCCAGUCGCAAGCAAAUCCUCCUUUGGGUGGGUGGGGGACGGCUGCUUUGGUUUUGAUUUCACAGCCAGCGACUAGAUGAAAAGGUGCAAGCUUGGCACUGGCCGGCCCACGUGUCUUCGGGUUUCUCUAUUGGUCUAUCUGUGGCUUUUACAAGGUAAAUGUUGUGUAUUUUAUGGAGUCAAAUUAACGACGAAAUGACUGUGCUGUGUGAAAAAACGAAAUGUAGGUUUAGUUGUGGAAAUGUUUCUUGUGCUGAAAAAGUAAACAAAUCUGGGUUGUAAUUGAAAACACAUGUGCACAAAAGUAGAAAAAUACACAGUGGCAAAUGUUGUUGUCUUUUAUUUCACGAGAACGAUGCGAUUUUUGGCGAUAAAUAUUGAGUUAUUUCGCCCGCUCAGGGUUUUGACGUGGAGGCUGAUGGGAAGGGGGCCAAUCUCAUUGGUCACUCAUCAUAUGCGCCAAGUGCAUUUACCUGCCUGACUAAGGCUGGCGGCUGGAGCUUAACUGGAUAUCAAAUCGUUUUCUUCUGGGUCAAAUGAAUGAAAAGUUCACUGUUCUCCUCACUCCCAGCAACUUCUGAUUGUAGCCUUUUUGUGUGGGUGGGGAAAGAUAGGAUUAG